rnacentral:rRNA from 1 species
AAGUCGGGCCUGCCCACUGAGUAAGAGAACGGCCUCUAUAUGUGGACCGAGCAAGGAGAAGAAAAGCAGUAUUCUUUUAAGUGGAGGCGGGAAGGAACGGGUAGAGAAAAUAUUAACGGUCUCGUUAUAUUGGAUAGACUUUAUCUUUAGAGUUUAUGGACUGAAAUAUUAUUAUGGGACGAGAAGACCCUAUAUAGCUGUAUAUAGAUGGGAGAUGAAGGUAUUUGUGGUUAACUUUUAUACUUAUUGUGGUUAUACUAAGUUGGGGGGACAUAAAGAUAUAAGAAACUCUUUAUUUAUAUUUACAUUUAUUUAUGGUUUAGUGAUCCAGUAUCAGAGAUUGAAAGAUAAAGUUACCUUAGGGAUAACAGCGUUUCCACUUGAGAGUUCAUAUCGAAAGAGGAGUUUUUUACCUCUAUGUUGGACUAAGAAAAUCAUUAAAUGUAGCAGUUAUGUUAAUAAGUCUGUUCGACUUUAUAAUUCUUAC